ACCUCAGAUCAGGUAAGACUACCCGCCGAAGU
rnacentral:rRNA from 1 species